rnacentral:rRNA from 1 species
GACGAACGCUGGCGGCGUGCUUAACACAUGCAAGUCGAACGGAAAGGCCCUGCUUGCAGGGUACUCGAGUGGCGAACGGGUGAGUAACACGUGGGUGAUCUGCCCUGCACUUCGGGAUAAGCCUGGGAAACUGGGUCUAAUACCGGAUAGGAGCCAUUUUUAGUGUGAUGGUUGGAAAGUUUUUUCGGUGUAGGAUGAGCUCGGGGCCUAUCAGCUUGUUGGUGGGGUAAUGGCCUACCAAGGCGGCGACGGGUAGCCGGCCUGAGAGGGUGGACGGCCACAUUGGGACUGAGAUACGGCCCAGACUCCUACGGGAGGCAGCAGUGGGGAAUAUUGCACAAUGGGAGCAAGCCUGAUGCAGCGACGCCGCGUGGGGGAUGACGGCCUUCGGGUUGUAAACUCCUUUCGCUAGGGACGAAGCUUUUGUGACGGUACCUAGAUAAGAAGCACCGGCUAACUACGUG